rfam:Corynebacterium durum F0235 genomic scaffold Scfld15, whole genome shotgun sequence.
UGGCGACCCCGCGGGUGCCAGGCGCGUAAUGGCCGUGGCUGAGAAUAAACCGCACGAACCUGAUCCGGGUAAUACCGGCGCUAGGGAGGAUAAAUGAAAAAGAU